UACGAGGGGGGCGAGCGUUGUUCGGAAUUAUUGGGCGUAAAGGGUGCGUAGGCGGUUUGGUAAGUCUGAUGUGAAAUCUAUGGGCUCAACUCAUAGUCUGCAUCGGAAACUGCCGGGCUUGAGUGUGGGAGAGGUGAGUGGAAUUCCUGGUGUAGCGGUGAAAAUGCGUAGAUAUCAGGAGGAACACCUGUGGCGAAAGCGGCUCACUGGACCAUAACUGACGCUGAUGCACGAAAGCUAGGGGGAGCAAACAGG
rnacentral:rRNA from 1 species